UCUAGAAUUUUCUCCCUCUUCUCCCUUAUCUCAAAACCUAUCCAAUAACGUCCCAACACUCUUUGAACUUCAUAAAUCUCUCCAAGGUUAAGGUUGAGACAAUAUUGGGCAGCAUAUACAUAUUGUGUGCAAAUAACCCUAAAGGUACAGAUAUUCAUUUCGGGGAUUCGCCAGCUUAGGAUUUCCACUCAGCUAUUUUGGAAGUGCUUCAUUGUCCUGGAGCCUAGAAUUUCGGUAUAGAUAUUUUGAUGUAUAUAUUUAUUUAUCCAUGGGUACGGAGGGGCCCUAUCCCGUCAUACGCUACUGUUGGUAUUCUUAGAGGUCUGUAGACAUAUAUGUGGGUGGUAUAUAGAUGUUAUCCAGCUGUACUAGUAUGACUUAUAUUUUGGAACAUUACUAUUCAUAGUGGCAGCCUUGUCGGCUUGCCUAUAUACAUGUAUAUUUUGGAAUGUGAUGUAUAGUGGCAGCCUUGUCGGCUUACGUUUUAUGUUAUAUUAUUUU